CCUACGGGGGGCUGCAGUGGAGAAUAUUGGACAAUGGGGGGAACCCUGAUCCAGCCAUGCCGCGUGUGUGAAGAAGGCCCUCGGGUUGUAAAGCACUUUCAGUGAGGAAGAACGCCUGGUGGUUAAUACCCAUCAGGAAAGACAUCACUCACAGAAGAAGCACCGGCUAACUCCGUGCCAGCAGCCGCGGUAAUACGGAGGGUGCGAGCGUUAAUCGGAAUUACUGGGCGUAAAGCGCGCGUAGGUGGCUUGAUAAGCCGGUUGUGAAAGCCCCGGGCUCAACCUGGGAACGGCAUCCGGAACUGUCAAGCUAGAGUGCAGGAGAGGAAGGUAGAAUUCCCGGUGUAGCGGUGAAAUGCGUAGAGAUCGGGAGGAAUACCAGUGGCGAAGGCGGCCUUCUGGACUGACACUGACACUGAGGUGCGAAAGCGUGGGUAGCAAACAGGAUUAGAUACCCUAGUAGUC
rnacentral:rRNA from 1 species